UACGUAGGGGGCGAGCGUUGUCCGGAUUCACUGGGCGUAAAGGACGCGCAGGCGGCCCGAGGGGUCCGUCGUGAAAGCCCGGGGCUUAACUCCGGGUGGUCGGCGGGGACCGGCGGGCUUGGAGGCCGGUAGAGGGAUGCGGAAUUCCCGGUGUAGUGGUGAAAUGCGUAGAGAUCGGGAGGAACACCAGAGGCGAAAGCGGCAUCCUGGGCCGGGCCUGACGCUGAGGCGUGAAAGCGUGGGGAGCGAACCGG
rnacentral:rRNA from 1 species